rnacentral:misc_RNA from 1 species
GAUGAAGAACGCAGCAAAAUGCGAUAAGUAAUGUGAAUUGCAGAAUUCAGUGAAUCAUCGAAUCUUUGAACGCACAUUGCGCCCGCCAGUAUUCUGGCGGGCAUGCCUGUUCGAGCGUCAUUUCAACCCUCAAGCACAGCUUGGUGUUGGGACUCGCGUUAAUUCGCGUUCCCCAAAUUGAUUGGCGGUCACGUCGAGCUUCCAUAGCGUAGUAGUAAAACCCUCGUUACUGGUAAUCGUCGCGGCCACGCCGUUAAACCCCAACUUCUGAGUGUUGACCUCGGAUCAGGUAGGAAUACCCGCUGAACUUAAGCAUAUCAAUAAGCGGAGGA